UACAGAGGUCCCAAGCGUUGUUCGGAUUCAUUGGGCGUAAAGGGUGCGUAGGUGGCGUGGUAAGUCGGGUGUGAAAUUUCGGAGCUCAACUCCGAAACUGCAUUCGAUACUGCCGUGCUUGAGGACUGGAGAGGAGACUGGAAUUUACGGUGUAGCAGUGAAAUGCGUAGAGAUCGUAAGGAAGACCAGUGGCGAAGGCGGGUCUCUGGACAGUUCCUGACACUGAGGCACGAAGGCUAGGGGAGCAAACGGG
rnacentral:rRNA from 1 species